rnacentral:rRNA from 1 species
AAGCUCGUAGUUGAAAUUGUGUCCUGCGGUGUCGGUCUGCCGAUCGCGGUAUGACGGGCAUGUCUGUGGGACUUCUCGCCGGUGCGUCAACCGCCGAAGCGUGUCGGUCGGCCGUGAGGUCUGGCCGCUCGCGCCGAGGCGGAACGUUGCGGCUGUUUACUUUGAACAAAUUAGAGUGCUCAAAGCGGGCUAACACUCGCCUGAAUAUUGUACGCAUGGAAUAAUAGAAUAGGACCUCGGUUCUGUUUUGUUGGCUUUCUGAUACCAGAGGUAAUGAUUAAUAGGGACAACUGGGGGCAUUCGUAUUGCGACGUUAGAGGUGAAAUUCUUGGAUCGUCGCAAGACGGACUAAAGCGAAAGCAUUUGCCAAAGGUGUUUUCAUUAAUCAAGAACGAAAGUUAGAGGUUCGAAGGCGAUUAGAUACCGCUGUAGUUCUAACCAUAAAUGAUGCCAGCCAGCGAUCCGCCGAAGUUUCAUUAUAUUAACCCGGUGGGCAGCUCCCGGGAAACCAA